CUUAUCCUUUUACUUUUUAAUUUUUCUCCAUCUUUAAGUCUUAGGCAUAUUUCUUGGAACAGCAUGCAGCUGGAUUUUGUUUUCUACCCAGUCUUGGUAUUAAUACUACUUUUUUUUUUUUUUAAACAUAAAGGAUUCUGGUUGAUCUGAAAAAUGAAGUUUGGUAUCAAAAAUGUCAUGACCCUGUAUGUAAAGCAGAAAACUUCAAAUCUGACUGUUUCCCAUUACCUGCUGAAGUAUGUCUCCUGUUUCUUUUCAAAGAGGAAGAAGAGUUUACAACAGAUGAAGCAGAUGAAACUAGGAGCAAUGAAACCCAGAAUCCUCAUAAACCAUCACCUAGCAGGCUGUCAACAGGUGCAUCUGCUGAUGCUGUCUGGGAUAAUGGCAUUGAUGAUGCUUAUUUUUUAGAAGCUACUGAAGAUGCUGAAUUAGCUGAAGCUGCAGAGAACAGUCUUCUCAGUUAUAACAGUGAAGUGGAUGAAAUUCCUGAUGAACUAAUU
rnacentral:sRNA from 1 species